rnacentral:rRNA from 1 species
GAUGAACGCUGGCGGCGUGCCUAAUACAUGCAAGUCGAGCGAACAGACGAGGAGCUUGCUCCUUCGACGUUAGCGGCGGACGGGUGAGUAACACGUAGGUAACCUACCUAUAAGACUGGGAUAACUUCGGGAAACCGGAGCUAAUACCGGAUAAUAUUUCGAACCGCAUGGUUCGAUAGUGAAAGAUGGCUUUGCUAUCACUUAUAGAUGGACCUGCGCCGUAUUAGCUAGUUGGUAAGGUAACGGCUUACCAAGGCAACGAUACGUAGCUGACCUGAGAGGGUGAUCGGCCACACUGGAACCGAGACACGGUCCAGACUCCUACGGGAGGCAGCAGUAGGGAAUCUUCCGCAAUGGGCGAAAGCCUGACGGAGCAACGCCGCGUGAGUGAUGAAGGUCUUCGGAUCGUAAAACUCUGUUAUUAGGGAAGAACAAACGUGUAAGUAACUGUGCACGUCUUGACGGUACCUAAUCAGAAAGCCACGGCUAACUACGUG